GAGGGGGCUGCAGGGCCAACAGCCAGAGCAGGAUUUGUUUUUGCUGUGAGUGUCCCAGAACUUUGUGUGUCCCAGGGCUUCCUGCCCAGGCUCAGCCCCAGAUGGUGGCACAGGUGGGGCUGGGUGCUGCCAUUCCUGAGGUGAGGGAGCAGCAGGUAUGGAAAUGAGAACUUGGCUACUUAUCGCUAGAUGCUGUUUGAAUUGCAACUUUGUUCCCCACGUAACAAAGUGAUAAGGUGGUUUCUACACUUGAGCAAAUGUGGCUGGACCAGGAAGUGAUUCUGCAGGAUGGUGAGAGCUGCUCUUGCAGUUUGGUAAUUCCUCUGUGGUCUUUUGGGGCUAUCACAGAAUAAUGGUUUGGGCUGAAAGGGAGCAUGGAGCCCCUCUCCUUCCACCCCCAGCCAUGGGCAGGGACACCUUCCACUAUCCCAGGUUGCCCCAAGCCCAGUCCAGCCUGACUUUGAAUAUGUCCACAGCUUCUCUGGGCGCCCUGUGCCAGGGCCUCCCCACCCUCCCUAAUUCCCUAAUUCCUCAUCUAACCCUUCCCUGUGCCUGUUGAAGCCAUUCCCCCUUAUCCUGGCACUCCAUGCUCUUGUUAAAAGCCUUCCUCCAGCUUUCCUGUGGAUUAUAGAAAGCAGUUGUGCCUGAUGGAUGGUGAACAUGAA